UCAAUUGUAUUGGUUAGUUCUGUGU
rnacentral:misc_RNA from 1 species